AUUCUUCAAACACAUGUAUGCAUCAUCUUCAUCAGAUUUCGGCAUCAAAUUUUGUAGCUUUUAGUUGUUUUUUUGCUAUUUACUUAAUUUCAGGGUAUAUGUUUAGUUUAUUUAGGGUUGAUCUAAUUUAUUUUUAGUUAGUUAUUUUCUUAGGUAUCCUAUUACAACAGGUUGAUUUCUAAUUAAUUAUUGUUUUAGUUAAUACAAUAAAUUAAUAUAUAUAUAUGUGAUUUGUACUUAUUUUGAAGUUUUUUUUUUUAUUAUUAUUGUAGGAAAUAGCUGUCAUUCCCGAGAUGCCUAAACUACCCCUACACCAACACCCCAACGUUCAUAAAGCAAGGGCAAUUUCGUCUUUUUCUCUUUGUGCGGAUCCAAAGAGAAUAUUCUCUCUUGUUAUCCGAAUAUGCCUCCUCUUUUCAAGGUCAGAUUUAAUUCAAAAACCUAUUGCAUUUAUUUUCAUAUAAAUGCUUUCUUUUCUUUUCCUAGAAAACCCUAGCACACAUUUUCUCUCUUCAAAGCAUGGCAGCCGAACCACCCUCUUCUCUUUCUUUGCUUUUCUUUCUGCAACUCAACACAGCCCAGCCGAAGCUCUUCUUCUUCCUUCCUUCUCUCUUUGCUGAAAAACGCAGCAACACAACAAUGGUAAGAAAAAUGUUGCUGCGUUAUUUUUCUUCUUCUUCCUUUCUCCUUUCUUCAAGCUACUGCUGUAGCUUUCAUGGCAGCCCCUUGUUCCCUUUCAAAACCUGCAACACACAUACAAAAAACACAACCCGAAACAGUAACAACAAAGAUCAAAAAUGAUCUUUGUUGGUUACAAGAGAUAUAAACCGAAACACCACAGAAAAAUAAAUGAAGAACACAACAAAAUUUGAUUUCGGAGUUCCCCUUGAAAUCAAGAGUACAUCUCCGUCAAGCUUCCCUCAAAGACGCUUGAUUCUUCACUAUCAAAGUCCAAACCGAUUACAAGGAUGAGAGAUUCCUAGCCACAAAGUUCAGUAGGUUGAUUACAAAACAAACAAGGGCUGCCUUGUAUUUUUCCUCUGCUGGCCGAAAUGGUCUCUUGCUCAAAGUGGAAGGUGUUGUUAAAUCUUCUUGCUUCCCCGAGCUCUGAUACCACUGUAGGAAAUAGCUGUCAUUCCCGAGAUGCCUAAACUACCCCUACACCAACACCCCAACGUUCAUAAAGCAAGGGCAAUUUCGUCUUUUUCUCUUUGUGCGGAUCCAAAGAGAAUAUUCUCUCUUGUUAUCCGAAUAUGCCUCCUCUUUUCAAGGUCAGAUUUAAUUCAAAAACCUAUUGCAUUUAUUUUCAUAUAAAUGCUUUCUUUUCUUUUCCUAGAAAACCCUAGCACACAUUUUCUCUCUUCAAAGCAUGGCAGCCGAACCACCCUCUUCUCUUUCUUUGCUUUUCUUUCUGCAACUCAACACAGCCCAGCCGAAGCUCUUCUUCUUCCUUCCUUCUCUCUUUGCUGAAAAACGCAGCAACACAACAAUGGUAAGAAAAAUGUUGCUGCGUUAUUUUUCUUCUUCUUCCUUUCUCCUUUCUUCAAGCUACUGCUGUAGCUUUCAUGGCAGCCCCUUGUUCCCUUUCAAAACCUGCAACACACAUACAAAAAACACAACCCGAAACAGUAACAACAAAGAUCAAAAAUGAUCUUUGUUGGUUACAAGAGAUAUAAACCGAAACACCACAGAAAAAUAAAUGAAGAACACAACAAAAUUUGAUUUCGGAGUUCCCCUUGAAAUCAAGAGUACAUCUCCGUCAAGCUUCCCUCAAAGACGCUUGAUUCUUCACUAUCAAAGUCCAAACCGAUUACAAGGAUGAGAGAUUCCUAGCCACAAAGUUCAGUAGGUAAUCUCUAUUCUUUCUCUUUAUUUCUCUUGGUUUUUCUUACAAUAUCUCUCACUAACUCUCUAUAUUUUUCUCUCUUGUUUCUGAGGUUGGUUACAAAACAAACAAGGGCUGCCUUGUAUUUUUCCUCUGCUGGCCGAAAUGGUCUCUUGCUCAAAGUGGAAGGUUGAACCACUUAUUUAUAAUGUUGUUGUUGUUGUUGUGUUUGUUUCUGAUCUGAGAAAGUUUGUUGUAAUCUGUUGAGAUAUUUUCCCUUGAAUAGCUGAAAGUUGUUAGAGUCUUGAGAUAUUUAUUUGCUUCCUUUUAUUGUUAAGAAAUAAAAGACUUAAGCCUAGGAAAACAGAACCGACAACUCUAUGAGUUAUAAUGGUCUGUUGAGGCUUUAUAAAGAGGUCUAAAUUAUUUUCCUUGUAA